CCUACGGGUGGCUGCAGUGAGGAAUAUUGGACAAUGGACGAAAGUCUGAUCCAGCCAUGCCGCGUGCAGGAUGACGGCCCUAUGGGUUGUAAACUGCUUUUAUACAGGAAGAAACACUCCCACGUGUGGGGGCUUGACGGUACUGUACGAAUAAGGAUCGGCUAACUCCGUGCCAGCAGCCGCGGUAAUACGGAGGAUCCAAGCGUUAUCCGGAAUCAUUGGGUUUAAAGGGUCCGUAGGUGGAUAAUUAAGUCAGAGGUGAAAUCUUGCAGCUCAACUGUAAAAUUGCCUUUGAUACUGGUUGACUUGAGUAUAUUUGAGGUAGGCGGAAUGCGUGGUGUAGCGGUGAAAUGCAUAGAUAUCACGCAGAACUCCGAUUGCGAAGGCAGCUUACUAAACUAUAACUGACACUGAAGCACGAAAGCGUGGGGAUCAAACAG
rnacentral:rRNA from 1 species